ACUUCCUACGGGAGGCAGCAGUGAGGAAUAUUGGUCAAUGGCCGAGAGGCUGAACCAGCCAAGUCGCGUGAGGGAAGACGGCCCUACGGGUUGUAAACCUCUUUUGUCGGGGAGCAAAGCGAACCACGUGUGGUUCAUUGAGAGUACCCGAAGAAAAAGCAUCGGCUAACUCCGUGCCAGCAGCCGCGGUAAUACGGAGGAUGCGAGCGUUAUCCGGAUUUAUUGGGUUUAAAGGGUGCGCGGGCGGAGUUGCAAGUCAGCGGUCAAAUUGCGGGGCUCAACCCCGUACUGCCGUUGAACCUGAC
rnacentral:rRNA from 1 species